UUACGGCCAUAUCACGUUGAAACAUCGGCUCUCGUUCGAUCAGCGAAGUUAAGCAACGUCGACCCUGGUCAGUACCUAGAUGGGUGAGUGUUUCGGAAUACCAGGUUCUGUAA